GUAAAUAUAAUUUAAUUNAAAAUAUUAGAUUGUGAAUCUAAACAUAGAAACUCACCCCUUCUUAUUUACC
rnacentral:tRNA from 2 species